UACAGAGGUCUCAAGCGUUGUUCGGAUUCAUUGGGCGUAAAGGGUGCGUAGGCGGCGCGGUAAGUCGGGUGUGAAAUCUUGGAGCUUAACUCCGAAACUGCAUUCGAUACUGCCGUGCUUGAGGACUGGAGAGGAGACUGGAAUUUACGGUGUAGCGGUGAAAUGCGUAGAUAUCGUAAGGAAGACCAGUGGCGAAGGCGGCCACCUGGUUCAGCACUGACGCUCAGACACGACAGCAUGGGGAGCGAACGGG
rnacentral:rRNA from 1 species